rnacentral:lncRNA from 1 species
CUUGUUUUCACCACUUUCUCCUAGAGAGGAUAUACUUUUCUAUAGAAUAAGUGUUUAACAUUUUUUUAAUUAUUUUUUAGAGGUUUCAAUUAUGUGGUUUAUGUAAAUAUAAAAAUUAUUAUAUUUUAAAUAAACAUGGUUUUUGUUGUUUUUAACAUAUAAUAACCUGUCAUCUGUCAUUUCUUCUUCUUUUUUAGCUGUCAUCUGUCAUUUCUUCUUCUGUUUUUGGGCUGUCAUCUGUCAUUUCUUCUUCUUUUUUGGCUGUCAAGUGUCAUUUUGUGAGCAAAUAAUUUAGUAGAAUUUUUGGUAGAUUUUAUCCUCCAUCUAGUAGAAUUUAGUAGAUUUUAUACCUAAAUCUAGUAGAAAACGACGUUCGGUCGUUGGCAACUCUGCAUAAGAUAUAACCUAGAAUUUAAAUUUUAGUUGACCGUUGUUUGUUGUUUUAAUGUCUGUGCAAUAUCCAAUAAAAAUAAACAAAAUAUAGAAGAAUAAUAAUAAUAUUAUGUAAUUAUAAUGAUUUAUAAUUUCCUAAAGAAAUAUAUGCUUUAGAAAGAUGUAACAUAUUUAAAGAGAAAAUGUAAAAUGAGAUGUAAAAUCUUGAGAAUCCAAGAGCUGCAUGUCUGAAAGCAAAAUAAAUGAAACUGAGGGCAUAGAUAGAUAACAUUUUACUGAAACACAAUGAAUAAAAUAUCACUGAAUAUGAGAAGAUAGUUCAUCAAAAGUUGGCGAUGUUUAAGAACAAUUUUGCUGCAUCCAACAAUCAUAAUCGCUGCUGUCAGUCAUACAAAGUAAACUGUGCGAAAGUUUAGUCCUAUCAAAAUUUAACUAUGGUGAUGUUGUGUAUGGGCCAUUCCACGUCUGCGCGUCUGCUCUAGACCAUCGCGACAACGAAUAUUUUAGUGUGCAACAUAAGAAGUACGAAAGUAAAUGGCUGUAAAAAUUAUUCCAAUAAAGAAGAAUGUAAUUUGCAAUUUAGUUUCGUACUUCUUAUGUUGCACACUAAAAUAUUCGUUGUCGCGAUGGUCUAGAACAGACGUAUAUUCGUGGAAUGGCCCAUAUGGACAUUGUAUUCGAUCAGAUGACAGAGGAAGAAUUCGGGGGGUUCAAAAGACACCAGCCUAUUUGUCACAAAUUUAAAACAUGUAAAAUGGUUGAGCGUGGAAAAGAGAAGAUUUCUACAUGCUGCUUGUCUGUUCCACAAAAUUAUCAAAAACUCACUACCAACAUAUCUUUUUAAAAAAGUUAUACAGUGAUGAGCGCCCUAAUAACCGGCAAAAUAACGCAAAGGUGGAAAAUAUUAAGUUGUGAGAUAAACAGAAAUGAAACUAGUGGAGGUGGUAGAUUUAGCGAUAAAAACUUAUAAGUUUACAUUUUACUUAUUGUUUCCCACCUUUAGACGUAUCAGAUGAGUAUUUCAACUAAAACUGUCACAGUGGCAGUUGCCAAACUCGUCCAAUACAUCUAAAGGUGGAAAACAAUAAAUAUAAUAUAAAUGUAUAGGUUUGUAUCGCUAAAUUUCCCACCUACACUAGUUUUAUUUCUUUUUAUCUCACAACUUAAUUUAUUAGCGCACUCAUCACUGUUUAUAGAACUGACAUAAGGGACACAGAGCAACAGUGGCCUAACUGCAAAAAACAAAGUUUUGAGAUAAAUGCAAUCUUUGCAUUCAUAUUUACAUUGUGCUUAUGGGAUGAUGCUACAAAUUAUGUAACGAUAUUUAGCCAAAUAUACAGGUAUGUUGUGUAGACCCUUGUUAAUUUGAAGAUUUAAUGUUGCUACUUUUAUUGAUGUAUUAAUCUAAAAAUGCUCAAUUUGUGCUUUUUUUCUCUUGCUUAAGAUGAAAAGUCUAGGUGCUGAUUUCUUGAAAUCGGUACCAACUGAUCUUCAGCAUUUUUUUUAGUAUUUUGUGCAUAGAGGUAUAUCGUCAUUGUCAGAGCCAAACCUCAUAUGUACAUUAUUGACAAAAUCCACUAUUUUUUUAUUUAUAAUUACAACACAUAAUACUGAUAUAAUCUUCUUAAUAUUAUUUCUAAAUUUAAAGAGUAUAGUACUUUUUAACACAUUUCGGCAAAAUGAUAUUAAUUCUGAUAAAGAUAAAAAAUAUAUAAGAGUUUUUUUCAUUUCCUGAAAAAUCUCACAACAUGCACAUAUGUACAAGAUUUGGCACUGAGGCCGACGGUAUAUGAUUAUAUUAUAUCAUGUUAUAUUUUGUGUAUUGUUUGAAUUUGAACAAAAAAUGCAGACCUUUAUUGUUAUUAUUAGAUGCAGAUAUUUCCUCUUGUAUAAUAUAGUAAGACAAAACAUUGAAUAUAAUAAGUGUUACCAAAUUAGUUCAAUUUCAAAUUUUUUUCCUAUGCAGGAACAAUGUUGUAAAUGCCAAAUCAGAUUUUGUCUACAACUUUUGAAAAACAUGCAAGUAGUAAUGAUUUGAAAAAAGCAACUUUAUGAGGAUAACAUGAUAGAUUUUAGGAUGCAUCAAGUAAAGUCUUAAUAUUCCCAAUGCUCGGCAGUACAUUAUUUUGCACAUAUAGAACUUUGUUCCUGGAAAACCAAAAUACAACUAUUGUGGUUACGCAAACAUUGUUCCAGCAUAGGAUUCAAUUAUUAUCAUAGAAGACACAAUUUUUUCAAGACAUGACUACUAUCUGAUGUAUCUCUUUUAAUUGGAAAAAUGCCAAAUGUAAUAUUCAGUCAAAUUCUUAGUGUUCCGCACACACAUACACACACUUUGUCUAGAUCUAGAGUGAUGCGUAGCUAUUUUUCCACUCUAUGAGUUAAAGAUUAAGGACAGGUUGUUCUUCCAACAUGUUUAUUCUUUUCUUGAACCAAACGAAUUAAGGUUUGUCAGGUUUGACAGCUAUCUUCCACUACAUAAACUUUAUUAAAUUAAAAGCUUCAUGUAGAUUUGUUGCAGUACAUCCUUCAUUUUGUAUAUUUGGCAGCUAUUACUGUAUUUCAUACAUACAGAAUUACAAUAAUCGUGGCAGUACUAGCUGUUCUCAUGUUUUGAAUAAAUAUUAUAAUUUCCAACUAAUAACAUAUUAAAAUAAUAUAAUAUGACCAGGGGUUUUCUGUAGCUUGUAGAUUAUAUGUGUAUUAGAGCACUAUUUUCCAUAGUUAAAAAUAUUAUUUUAUGUAUAAAUUUUAUGAAAUAAAAGCACAUACUUAUCUAAAAACAAAUUUAUUUUAUUUUACAAAAAGUACAUCUCAAGUAUAUUUUGAAAUAUUAUAUAGAAUGAGUAGAGAAUGAAAGAGUAUAUCUAUUGGAGAAUACACAGGAAUACUGAGAACAAAUAGAGAAGCAGGGAUCUAUAUAAAGAUGAUCAACUCUAGGAACUCGUUCACUAAACCCCUAACAAAACAGAAAAAAAACCUGAUAUACUUGAAAAUUAAGUCAGACUGGUGAUCAAACUCAAAUUUAACAAACCACCAGGUCCAACAAUUAAAAUACUUUGAAGAUGCUAUAAGACCAGAUACAGAAAACAUGGAAACACUCAUAAAGAAACGUAACUAGAAAGCAAUAGAAAAUUUUAAAGAUUUGUUUACGAAAACUAAAGAUUGGUUCCCACAUAAUAAAUUUGGCAAAUGUAACACUGUUUAUAGAAUAGAAUAUCUUUAUUAAUUCAUUUAGAUGAUAGUGUGCUUAGCGAAAACACCGUAUCUGCAGACAUCACAUGAGUAAAAUCAAUUUUUGUUAAAGUAUUCGUAUACAUUUACACAAGAUACGGCAUAAGAUGCGGUGUGUUUAAUGUGUUUUGGUUUAACUUACGUCAUUUUUAGUAAGCAAAUAAGACAUAUAUGCACAUUUGGGUUAGAAAGAAGUAAAAAUUUAAUUUUUGCAGAUACAGUGUUUUCUCUAAGCACUGCAGUAUAGGACAAGCCAUAUAUGUAGUUACAUAGAACAUAAUCAACAAGUCAUACAGGACAGUUAUAUAAAACAUAAUCAACAAACUAUAAAUUAAUAAAAAAAGAUAUGCAAUAUAGAGUGUCUCUGAACCCGUCGGUCCUCAUUCCUUUUAGUCUUUUAUUAAGUCAAAGUAAUCAUUUAGGUUGUAAACACAUAAUUCUAUCAAGCAUGAUUUUAAUUUAUUUUUGAAUAUUAUUUUCAUUUCUCAUAUCAAGUGGCAAACAAUUGUAAAAUUUAGAUCCUGUAAAAUCAGGACUAGUUUCAAAAAGAGUUGUGGAAUGUUUACAUACGCUUAUCAUCCUCCCGUGCCUUGUCGGGUAAUCAUGAUAGUCAGAGUUGAGAGUAAAAUUUUGAAAUAUAGUUUUAACAUGAAUAAUGCACUUAUAAAUGUAUAAAGCAUGGAAAGUCAGUCUGUGAUCAAUAAAAUAUUUACGACAUGAUUGUCUAUUAUCGAUAGAUAUUAAAUAUCAAUCUAAUAAUUCUCUUUUUAGUUACAAAAACUCUAGAAGAGUUUCCCUACAAGACAACAUUAUAGGCUAUAAUAUGACUCAUAUAUUAUAUGAGUAAACCAAUGCAUAGUACACACUUAUCAAUUGAUUGGUAUUAAAUAGAGUUUUCAACUGAAGGAUCGCAUACUAACCCUUAUUCAUUUUUUUGCAGACUUUAGUAACGUUUUCAUCCCUUGUCAUAUUACUUUCUAGAAUGCUACCAAGAAAUAAUGUAUCACUAAAAGGUAUUUCCUCAGAACUAACUGUGAUCUUAUAAUCAUGGGAUGGCUAACUGCACGAGUAGCACUGCAUACAAAUAGUUUUCUUUGCAUCAUAUACCAUUAAAGAGUUCCUUUUACACCAGGUUGUAAAUUCCUGUGCUACCAAGUUCAUUUUGGAUAAGGGUUCCGACUUCAGUUGACGAGUCAACUACAAUAAUUGUUGAAUCAUCUGCAUAGAGAACUGUAUGAUCUGCAGUUAAAAAAUUUAUCAAAUUUAUCAUUCAUCAUUCUCUUUGCCUUAUCCCUAUGCGGGGUCGGCUUCCUUAAUAAUCUAUCUGCAUUUCCACAUAUAAAAUUUAUCAAAUUAUUGACAUAUAAAAGAAAUAUUAAGGGUCCUAAUACGGAGCCCUGUGGUACACCUUGAUCAAGAUUAAAAACAGAUGACUUCUUAUCGAUUUUUACUAGGAAUUUACGAUAUUGUAAGUAUGACCUUAACCAGUUCAAGAAAUGGCCCGAAAACCAAGGGCUUCUAAUUUAUGCAGUAUAAUGUCAAUGUCAAUUGAGUCAAAAGCCUUAGUUAAGUCAAAAAUGAGUGCACCCACAUAUCUUUUUCGAUCCAAAGCAGCGUGGAUAUAAUUAAAUAAUGAAAUAGAAGCACUUUCUGUAGAUUUGUUAGGAAGAAACCCAUGCUGGCAUUUAUUUAAGAUAUAAUGUUUGUUCAGAAAACUUAACAUUUUAUUGUAAAUACACUUUUUGAUAAUCUUAGAGAGUACACUUGUUACAGUGAUUGGCCUGUAAUUAUCAACCAAACAUGGAUCCCCCUUUUUGAAAAUUGGACUAACUACUCCCGUUUUAAUAUCACUUGGAAACUUGCCAUCCUUGACAGAUAGGUUGAUGAUGUGAGACAGAACUGGAGAUAUAUAUGUACAUCAUAAGUUGAUUGAACCUCACUUAUCUAUAUACAAUAGUGCACACAAAAAAAAGUUACAGCCCUUUGAAGUUACAAAAUGAAAAUUGAUUUUUUUUCGUAUAUCGAAAACUUUUAGAGAUUUUUUAUUGAAAAUGGACAUGUGGUAUUCUUAUAGCAGCAACAUCUUAUAAAAAAAUUAAAGUGAAAUUUAUGCAUCCCAUAAAUAUUUUAUGGGGGUUUCGUUCUUUUAAUCCCCAUUAUUAGUCUUUAUAUAUUUAGUAUUAAUCCCCAUAUCAUUAGUUAAACACAAUGUUUUUAAAACUUUUUUGCUUCUUAGUACUUUUUCGAUAAGCCAGUGUUUAUUAUCGACAUAUUUUGAAUAUUUGUUGAAUCCACCACAUAUUUGUAUAUGGUUAAGUACGAUUAAAGAGACCUGUUAAUAAUCUGAAAAUUUAUUUAUAAUUUGCAUUUUUAGGUGUAUUUUGAAAAAGAAGCCACAUCUCGAUAAAAGGUGACUUGCCAAAAAAGACUAAGAGGCAAAAAAGUUUUAAAAACACUGUGUUUAACUAAUGGUACCACAAUAAUAGUUUAAUUGGAACGUACACAAACGUUUGGGGGCUUUAAAGGAACAAAACCCCCAUAAAAUUUUUAUGUAAAUAUAUUAAAAAAAAGCCGCAUCUCGAUAAAAACUGGAUUAUCGAAAAAAUACUAAGAGGCAAAAAAGUUUUUAAAACGUUGUGUUUAUCUAAUGGUAUCACAAAAAUGAAUUAAUCGGAACAUACACAAAAGUUUGGGGGGGUUUAAUGGAACAAAACCCCGUAACAUUUUUAUGGGGUGGACAAACUUCACUAUAAUUUUGUUUUAAGAUCUUCCUGCCACAAGAAUAAUACAUGUCCGUUUUCAAUAAAUAAUCUCUAAUAGUUUUCGACAUAUUAAAAAAAAUCAAUUUUCAUUUUGUAACUUUACAAGGGCUGUAACUUUUUUUAUGAGCACAUUUGUACUAAGGUAAGUUAGGUUCAAUCGAACUAUUUUUGACCCCAGAAUAUGUGGUAUAAUUUAUGACCAAUCUUUUCGGGACACCCUGUAUAAUUAAUAAGGUAUUACCAAAGUAGAAAGUAAAAUAGUUAAUUACUAAUUUAUUAAUCAUAUUUCGUCACCAUUUUGAUAUUUUUUUUGCUUGGACUAUAGUCAUUCAGCCAGUCUCAAUCAAAAGUAAAUGUAUUAGAGAUAUUAGAUAUUGUUAAUUAGUGAAACAUGGUUAUUAUAUUACAAUUUUUUACUUCUUAUUUUACCUACUCAUUACAGCUAAUGUACAGUUACGUUCACUGAAUAGUUUACACUUUAAUUUUUAUAUUGUAAUACUGUAAAAUUGCAGUGUCGUACGGAUUUGAUAAAUGUCUAAAGUCAAAAAAUCUCAAAAAGUCAAUGCUUGUCAAAAAUUUCGUGAGUGUUGAAAAAUAAAAUAAGAAACUAAACCAUAUUAAGACCGUAAUCCAUUUUAUUCAAAAAAACUUCUUUCUAUAUUUUCCAUUUUGAUAAAUUUUGUAAAAUUUAUUUUUGUUAUUUUGAUUUUUUAAUUUUAAUCAACUUAUUCUAGGUACACCACUGGCAACGUCACUUUGACGCAAGAGGUGCAUUUAAACGAGGUAAAAAUUUAAAAAAUCGGUUCCUAGAUAAGCCAGCCUGUAAACUAUCCACUGGCCGUAACUACAUACUAUGUUAAUAAAUAAUAUAAAUAUAUUAUACUUGAUGUUUAUCAAGAACACAUAGUGUAUACAUUUUACAAAUAAAAAUAUUAAUGUUAAUAUUUAAAAUAAAUGUAUUCUUUUUU